AACAUUGGCCAAUGGGCGAAAGCCUGAUCCAGCCCUGCCGCGUGUGUGAGGAAGGUCUUCGGAGUGUAAAGCACUUUAAGUUGGGAGGAAGGGGAUGAUGCUAAUACCUUCAGCAUUGGACGUUACCACCAGAAUAAGCACCGGCUAACUCUGUGCCAGCAGCCGCGGUAAUACAGAGGGUGCAAGCGUUAAUCGGAAUUACUGGGCGUAAAGCGCGCGUAGGUGGUUCAGUAAGAUGGAAGUGAAAUCCCCGGGCUUAACCUGGGAACUGCUUUCAUAACUGCUGAGCUAGAGUACGGUAGAGGGUAGUGGAAUUUCCUGUGUAGCGGUGAAAUGCGUAGAUAUAGGAAGGAACACCAGUGGCGAAGGCGACUACCUGGACUGAUACUGACACUGAGGUGCGAAAGCGUGGGGAGCAAACAGG
rnacentral:rRNA from 1 species